UGCUUUCUUUGAUAGCAAUAUAAUAAAAUAGGAACAGUACAAAGGAGACUAGUAUGUCCUCUGCACAAGGAUGACAUACUAGUUUCUGAAGCCCUCUUUAUCUUU